AACCUUUAGCUAAACAAGUAUUAAAGGCGACGCCUGCCCAGUGAAUAAUUAAACGGCCGCGGUAUCCUAACCGUGCAAAGGUAGCAUAAUCAUUUGUCUAUUAAUUGUAGACCUGUAUGAAAGGCUAAAUGAGAAUCCAACUGUCUCUUACAACAAAUCGAUAAAACUGAUCUCCUAGUACAAAAGCUAGAAUACUAACAUAAGACCAGAAGACCCUGUGAAGCUUUAACAAACCCAUUAAACCAAAUAAUGCUUACUUUCGGUUGGGGCGACCUUGGAAUAAAAAAGAACUUCCAACAUAUGACCUCCUCAUAAAACUAAGGCAAACAAGCCAAUACUAGACCCAGCACAGCUGAUAAUUGAAAUAAGUUACUCCAGGGAUAACAGCGCUAUCUUCUUUAAGAGCCCAUAUCAAAAAGAAGGUUUACGACCUCGAUGUUGGAUCAGGACAUCCCAGUAAUGCAACCGUUACUAAAGGUUCGUUUGUUCAACGAUUAACAGUCCUACG
rnacentral:rRNA from 1 species